rnacentral:misc_RNA from 1 species
GAUGAAGAACGCAGCGAAAUGCGAUAAGUAAUGUGAAUUGCAGAAUUCAGUGAAUCAUCGAAUCUUUGAACGCACCUUGCGCCCUUUGGCCAUUCCGAAGGGCAUGCCUGUUUGAGUAUCAUGAACACCUCAACUCUUUAUGGUUUUCCAUGAUGAGCUUGGACUCUGGGGGUUUUGCUGGUUCACAGUCGGCUCCUCUAAAAUGAAUCAGCUUACCAGUGUUUGGUGGGUAUCAUGGGUGUGAUAACUAUCUACGCUUGUGGUUUUUCCACCAGGUAACCUUCAGCAGUGGAGGUUCGCUGGAGCUCAUAGAUGUCUCUCCUCAGUGAGGACAGCCCUUUGAAUGUUUGAUCUCAAAUCAGGUAGGACUACCCGCUGAACUUAAGCAUAUCAAUAAGCGGAGGA